CCUAUAAAUACAUAUUCUUCAAGAGAUGAUACAUGUGCUUCCAAUCCUAAACAUUGCAAUUUAUAUAGUAAAAGAAAUAUGGAACCUUCCUACAAAUUGAAGUCAUUUGUUACUCUUUUAGCAAUACUUUUAAUACUAAUGUCAUCUAUGAUGUUUACUGAUGCCCAAUCCAAUUUCAAACAUGGGCGAAAACUGUUUCAAAAUGAUUAUUAUGGGAUUGGCUACCCAACUGGACCGAGUGGAUAUGGAGCAUAUAGCCCUCCUACGUAACUAAAUAGCUGCUUAGAGGAGGAGGAUGGCGCGAGGAUGUUCAUCUUUCCUUUUGUUUUGCGUCUUUAGAUUAAGUUGCUCUGAUCUGUAACACUAAGCGGGCGAACGAUGCUAUUUUUAUUUCUAUUGUGUUAAUUAGAGAGUUGGAUGUUAUACUCUCGAUGUUUAAGUUGAUUUGCGGAGAUUUUUAUUGUAUUGUUUUUCGGUUUAAUAAAGUAUUUUUAUGAAACUUAUAUGAUUGGUGAAGCAUGCUUAUUGAAUAAAUUCCGUUGCGAUGAUACCUUAAGUGAAGGUGAGCAUGCGAUGACAGGUGUUGAAUGUUUGUUUUAAAUUUCUAAGAGUUACAUAAUAGGUGAUGAUUUUGAGAAUGUGUGACAUCCUAUAUGAAUAUGUGAAAUAUCUUUGAUUUAUUUGUUAUAUUAUCCAUGGGGAAAUAGGGUCAUAGACCUUCCACACAAUUACUAACAAGGUAAUCUGGAGAGAAGAACAACCUUCUUUUCAUUCAAAUUUGUUAUCACCAAUGUCAACAACCUCAAUCUUGCAAGCUACCUAAAAAUCUCAACCAAGUCUUCAAUAACAAUUAGUUUCAAGAUAGUGUUAUCGUGGCGCGAAAAUUACCCGAGCAUAAGGAACAUUCGAAAUACAACAGAGUCACCACCGAACUUUAUUUAUUCUAAAAGGAAAAGAAAAAUAUCAAUAAAACCCAUGAAAGAACAACAAUAUGGUCAUCGCUACCAAAAGCGGGUUCGAGAGUCAGUUAUGCAAAGGGAAGGUAUUAGCACCUGUAACACCCCAAAUUCUAGACUAAUUAUUUAUUUAAUUAUUUUAGCGUGAUGCUUAUGUGUUAGUGUUUGUGUUAUCUGUAAUUUCGGGAUAUUUUGAUACUUGGGAUAAGGGUAGUUGCCUUAGAAUUUAUAAGGAAUGAAUUUAGAUGCUUUGGUGUGGAGUGGUGCCUUAAGAUUUAUAAUAAUUAAGGUCUUGUGAAAGAUUAGUUGGACUUGAGGUGUGUUGAGAAUAUGAAGUGUAGUUGGAGAAUAAUUAUUUUAUAAUAAUUAUUAUUAGCAAAAUAAUAGAAUGAAUAUUAUUUUAAUAAUUAUUUGAUUUAUUUUAAUUAGAGAAGGGCAUUGUUGGUAUUAUGAUUUAAGGGUAUGUUGGAUAAAAGAAGAAAAAUAGAGAGAUUAGGUUUUAUUUUUGAUGGAUCGUGAAAACAAGAGGAAGAGGCAAGAGAAGAAGGAAAACCUAAGGGAAGAGAGUGCAGGAAGCCAUGGCAAGAACUUGAGGAAUCCAAAAACAUAAGGUAAGGGGUGACUAUUCUUUAUUAAAUAGUAUUAUAGUUUUGAUGAUGGUAGAAUAGAUUAAGAGUUGAACCUCUAUUUAGGAUGUUAAGGUUUAUGAGAUUCUGACACUGACAUGCCCAAUUUGAUGAAUAUGAUGCAAUUGGUUUGUUAUAAUUGAUGGAUGAUAGUUAUAUUGCAUUGUUGUUGUGUUAGAAUCAUGAAAACUGAUGAAAAUUGGUCACUAUAAUGUGUGGGUUCGUAUUUGGUGUUGAUAGUGAAAGUAGGAAUGAAGAAAAGUCAUAAAAUUGGAGUUUUCUGCUACAACAGCGUCAGGAAUCGGUUCCCAGGUGGGAGGAACCGGGUUCCCAUAGUAAAAACCCGAAACGGGGAGAUUUUGUUCAGCAGGAACCGGUUCCCAGAUGGGGAGGAACCGGGUUCCACAGAUUUUUCUUAAUGUUUACUUAACUUUAAAAGCUUCUAAUUUUCAAACCGUAAGACCGUUUUAGACGCCGUUUUGGAUGUUGUUCCUUAAAUUGAAUGCUCUACCAUAUGAAAUAAAUAAAACAACAAUAACUUGAUUUUAUUUUAAAAAGUAUCGUUUUCUCCAAAUGUGAUUUAUUCUUGUAUUGCAUAAUUGGUGAGGUGCAAUGAUUUGUUGUUUGCAUAAUUGAACAUAUGCAAAGACGUGUGUUGUGAUAAUAUGACUGCUUCUACUUGUUAGGAAAAUGGAUAUUGUUUGUGGUAAAUAUGGUUAUCAUGUGUUUUGAUGAAUGAUGAUGAUUGAUUUGUUUUGAAUGAUGCAUGAUACAUGUACAUACUUGUUGGUAAUAACUAUGUUGAGUUAUGUGAGACGAUGUUGUUCAUCGGAUCGGUGAUGUUGUAUGUAUGACAUAUGUGUGCAUUCAUUCAUACGCAUUUUGUUGAUGGAUCUCGGUGAUGUUAUGGAUCAAAUGGUGGGUAUAAUUCCCAUUGUGUGAAAUUUGUGCCGGUUGGGCUGUAUCUUGGUGAGGAAUAGAUCAGUCGGAUGGGUUUAGCCCAUGUUUGGUACCACAUGCAUAAGAGUCUGCAUGGUCUUUGUAUAAAUUGUGACAUGUCAGGAUGAAAUCCGGUGUUAUGAUUGUGUUGUGUUAUUGGUGCAUACUAUUGACUUGAGCUUGUGAUUGGUAUGAAUUGGUAAAUCUGAAUAUGCUAAGUAGGGUGGAUAAUUGCUUAUGAAUUCUAUAUCUGACGAUUUAUAAUGCUAUUUAAUUUAUGAUGUAGUCUCACCC